UCUAACAUGCAUUAACAUCAAAAUUUAUAUUGCCCAACCUCAGAUAAUUGUGACUUUUACAAAAGUCCAUUAUGAUUGCUUAACAUAGAGCUAAAUUUUUACCCUAAAGGCAUAACAUUCUAGUAAUUGAGAUUGUAAGUCUCCCCCCUCUUAAGGUAUUUUGUGGAAACUUGGCCUUUUUUCCUUCCUUUGGAUGAUGUCAUAGUUCAAGCAUCCAUGCUUGUG
rnacentral:lncRNA from 1 species